CCCCAGACCCAUGGCUUAGGGGUAGAUCAUCUGCUUGGCAUGCAGGUCCCAAGUUCAAUCCUAGAGGUGUGGGGGGA
rnacentral:tRNA from 1 species